CGCGCAGGCGGCCAAGUCAGUCGAAUGUGAAAGCCCCCGGCUUAACUGGGGAGGGUCAUUCGAUACUGCUCGGCUCGAAGACAGGAGAGGGAAGUGGAAUUCCCGGUGUAGUGGUGAAAUGCGUAGAUAUCGGGAGGAACACCAGUGGCGAAGGCGACUUUCUGCCUGUUCUUGACGCUGAGGCGCGAAAGCUAGGGGAGCAAACG
rnacentral:rRNA from 1 species